GCGCCAGUGAGGCGCAACGUAGCAUCGUUGAUCUCUCUCCACGAGGCGCAACUGCAGGUCAAUCGUACUUCCUCCUCGGUGAAGGUUUCUCUUUCCACCCAUCCUUUUGUAUCCUCCACCUGACCACCUCCCAACACUAAAUCACCAUGAAUCGAGGGGGUGAUUCAGCUCGAGGAUUCACAAGAAGACAGGUCUAACAAAUUCUUGAGAUCCAUCGGGAAUUGGGUUUAGGGUUUUGUCCUCGCAACAAUGUUGGUUUUUUCUUCUUGGAUCCACCGAUCGUGUUGGGCAUUAUGAGAUAUCAAUGAACUGAUUCAUCAUAAAGUCACCGUCAUUUAUUCUUGAUGUCUUGCUCGAUCUGGGAGUGCUGAAACCGUGCUCUUUGGGACCCGUGUCAGAGAGGAAGAUGCAACCCUCGAUCUCGGUGACGAGAAGGUUCCUCUUCUAUGUUCUGUUUGCGUCGUUGUUCUUGUUGUUGUUUACGUGUUCCGAUCUUUUGAGGCCCCGCAGUAGGCCCCUUGUACCUCAAACAGUGCUCAUGUUCGUUCUUCCUAAUAAGACUUCAGAUGACAGCUUUGGAGCUAGAGAUAGGACCAAGUUUCCCCAUUCCGAUCCAUUUCCCUUUUCUUCCUCAAUCGUCGUCAAUGAUAGACGAGGAAGAUCCGAGAAAGACAUUAGAGAAGCAAGCAGCAAAGGAUGCGACUUGGAUCGGUCUUUACUCAAGGUAUACAUGUAUGAUUUGCCUCCUGAGUUUCAUUUUGGAUCGUUGGGUUGGAAGGGAAAAACCGAUCAGACAUGGCCGGAUAUCGCCGAAAUGGAUCGAAUUCCGACCUACCCUGGUGGAUUAAAUUUGCAGCAUAGUGUAGAAUACUGGCUCACCUUGGAUCUUCUUGCUUCAAAUGUUCCCAUUGUGGCGAGGCCUUGCACAGUGGUCCGUGUGACAAAUUCAAGCUCGGCGGAUGUGUUCUUCGUGCCCUUCUUCUCAUCUUUGAGUUACAACCGGCAUUCGAAGCCACAAGGGAAAGGUAAAGCUAGCAAAAACAGGAUUUUGCAGGAUGAGUUGGUGAGGUACUUAAUGGGCAGAGAGGAGUGGAAUAGAGGUGGUGGGAAGGAUCAUGUUAUUGUAGCUCACCAUCCCAACAGCAUGUUGCAGGCUCGAAGGAAGCUUGGUUCUGCUAUGUUUCUGCUUGCAGAUUUUGGGAGGUACCCAUCGAAGAUAGCCAAUCUCAAGAAGGAUAUCAUUGCUCCUUACAGGCAUGUAGUUCGUUCGGUCGGCAAUGACUCUGCCACCUUCGAUGAGCGUCCGAUAUUAGCAUAUUUCCAGGGAGCCAUCAAUAGGAAGGAUGGCGGUAAAAUUCGUCGAAAGCUCUAUUACCUUCUCAAAGAUGAGAAAGAUGUGCACUUUUCGUAUGGUAGCGUAAGGGAGAAUGGAAUAAGAAGUUCUGGUCAGGGAAUGGCUUCAUCGAAAUUCUGCCUGAAUAUCGCUGGAGACACCCCCUCCUCAAAUCGUCUCUUCGAUGCCAUUGUCAGCCAUUGUGUUCCCAUUGUGAUCAGUGAUGACAUUGAACUCCCGUUCGAAGAUAUCCUAGACUAUUCAGAUUUUUGCAUCUUUGUACGCACCUCGGAUGCUGUUAAGAAGGGUUUUCUUCUGGACCUUCUCAGGGGAAUCAAAAGAACAGAAUGGACUAAGAUGUGGGAAAGGUUGAAGCAAAUAGCUCAUCACUUUGAGUAUCAGUACCCAUCAAAGCAGGGGGAUUCUGUUCAGAUGAUCUGGGAAGAAGUUGCUCGCAAAAUCCCAUAUGUUCGUCUGAGCCUUAACAAGGAGAAGAGAUUACACAGAUCACAGUUUGUGAAGCAAAGCAAAUAGGAUAAUACUUUUGAGGACUCUUGUACAUCAGGUUGAAACCUUAGAAAGCUAUUUUCUGGGCACAGGGGAAAUCAAUAUCAUAGAAUUGUGCUUCACUUGUUCAAUAAAGAAUGUGCAAGCUUGUUAAUAGUGCAUAUAAUUUUCUGAUGCCUCCUCUCUAGCAAAACCAUUGGAUGAUUGAACUGUCAAAUGAGGAAAGAAACAAAGCAUUACAAGCAGCAACGAAACCUCAUGAUCUCCUUGCAGUUCUUCGCGUGAUGGAUUUCUUUUCCCGGCUUUAGUUGCUUCAUGGAUGCAACAUCCUCCCAGCUAGUUUUGGACGACGAUAAGGAAGAGCGCUCACGAAGCUUCAGCACCGGUUGUGGAUGGGAUCUGAUCCCCUUCGAACUCUUCGUUUGCUCAUCUUGUUAGGAUCCACAGGCGAUGGCUCUGCUGCAGAUUUCUUGCUCGCAUCAAGGCUGACGACACCAGUAUGGGAAAACAACCAAACGCACACGAGAAGUACAAGGAGGAGGAGCCUACGAGUGCAGAUUCCCAUCGGUCCUCCAGUUAGCCACAGAGAUGUGAGAGGCCCUUCUGGUUCGGCCUUAAAAGGCCCCAUCCCUGUAGAUAUAGUCCUCUCAUUCAUCGGCAUAUGGGUUUUGGUCCAAAAGCACAAAGCUCAGUAACGCAAAAAACACCUAGAGCAUUCGGAUUCACUCCAAUCAUAUGGCUGCAACCCAAGCAAAUCCAAGGCUGUUUUAGAAGGUUCUGUCAUGUAUGAAUAAAGAGAUUGGCACGCCAUCCUUGGGAAGCGAAGUAUCUUUCCGGUGGUUCCCUUCCCUCCCCUCCAAAUCCCCCCUCACUAAGCAAGCACUAAAGGAGAUGUUCAGGGAGUACGGCAGCAGCGAAAGAAACACCUGCUUUAUCUCUCUUCUGUGAUCAUCAUCCUGUGCUUUAGGAUUUCCUCUUACAACAAGGAAGCACUCUUAUCCAUGCACCAAAUGAAAGAAAACAAGUACUUGGUUUCUCGUGCUGAAUGCGCUUCUUUUUGCUUUUCUGCGUUAUUCCUGCUGCUAUAUACCCUACUUUUCCUAUAUCUCAUCCAUUACUUCUCCCAUGACUCUUUAAUUUUCCUCUUUUUCCUUUUUCCAUGGAGAACACAUUCCUCUUUCACUGUUCUUUUCAUAUUUAUAUUGCUUCUCAGUAUCACAUGCAGCUCGUAGGAUUCCUAAAGCACAGGUUCCCUCACUUCAACAAAAACUACGAGCAACUCAAGUAUCGCACAUCAGGUGUUUGUUGCUUUUUCUCUUUGAAAUAAAGCAAAAGAGCAACAGUGGAUGCUGCUGCUUUCCAAGGGCACAAGACUAGAACUCACAUGGAGGACUAUGCUCCCAUUGCAUGAAGAAAAACUCAAACAAUAUUGUUUCAUGCAACAUAAAAAAUUUAUCUCCAUAUUCAAGUGCCUUUCAUACAUACAUCAUGCACAAUGUCAAUUUUAUUUUUGAUUCUAGAAGCAUGCUUGGUCACUUUGAAAUAAACUCUCUGAUGUUCUUUUUAUUUAUUUAUUUUUCUUGCUAAAAAGUGUUCAUCUAUUAUUACUUAAUAUAUGGUACUUCGGAAACCUCACAAGUUUGUGAUCAUUGAACAGGGAGAAGAAGGAAAGAACACAGGAAAUAGAGCUGCAGGGAAAUCCAGGGAAUUAUCAUGAUUUGGUCUUCUCUCUGGAGACUAGUUUUCUAAAGUGGGCAAUUUCUUAAUGUCACCCAAGUGCUUUUAUAUACUUUUGAAGCAGGCUAUCAGAUAUUUGGGACCCAACUGAGUAAUUCUAUAUUAGAACUGGCAGAAAAUUUUUAGGUGCAAAGUUAUGAUCAUCUCAGCUUCAUGGGGUUUCCACAUUGUCAAAGAAGUCGAAUAAUUGCCAUGCCAAGAAGAUUGGAAGGAAUGCGAUGCCUAAGCAGUGACCCCCUCCAAAAGAUAUCUUUUGGCGUAUAUCACAUAGCAAAUAAUUUCUCACAGUUCAGAGAGUUUAUACUAGUAAACAUUUUUUAUGAAUCUUGUCACAAAGUAUCAUUGCAAAUGUAAGAGGGUGAGAUGUUCAAUGGAGUUUGAGGUGUAGAUUGAAUUGUGUAUGUAUCAAGUCGAUCGUAUGAAUAUGUUAUUGACGCAAGGAAAUUCGUGUUUUUUCUUUUAA